rnacentral:pre_miRNA from 1 species
UAUUAAAACUUUCAUCCAAUUCUACUAUUAAAAAUUAGUACGGCUGACGGAAUAACCGAAUAAUAAUACAUGGAGUGCCACAUGUACCUCCUACUGACGUAUAUGGAUCAAUUUUUAACAGUAAAAAUAACAAAAUGAUCAGUUUGCUC